AUACGUAGGGGGCGAGCGUUGUCCGGAAUGAUUGGGCGUAAAGGGCGCGUAGGCGGCCCGGUAAGUCUGGAGUGGAAGCCCUGUUUUUAAGAUGGGAAUGGCUUUGGAUACUGUCGGGCUUGAGUGCAGGAGAGGUAAGUGGAAUUCCCUGUGUAGCGGUGAAAUGCGUAGAUAUGCCACAGAACGACGAUAGCGGAGGCGGCUCGCCAGGCAUGCAUGGACGCGCGGGCACGAAAGCGUGGGGAUCGAGCAGGAUUAGAUACCCUGGUAGUCCACGCCGUAAACGAUGGGCGCUCGUCGUCGGCGGCAGACAGUCGGCGGCCAAGCGAAAGCGAUAAGCGCCCCACCUGGGGAGUACGGUCGCAAGGCUGAAACUCAAAGGAAUCGACGGGG
rnacentral:rRNA from 1 species